GAUUUAGCACAAUGGAACCGGAUUCGAAUUGCUCCGUCGGUACUAGUGAACUCCCACUCAAAAAUCCCAUGCCACCGCUGCGGCGGUCGCCGCCUUCACCGCCUAAUCCUCAUAUCCCCUCUGCCAAGUUGAUCUCCUUCCCCAACGUUGAUGUCUUCGGCAAACUAACUACCAAUCAGCUUAAUGUUCUCAUCUUCCAGUAUUUUCAGGCAAAAGGUUUCAAACACGCUGCAUUUGCAUUUGAAAACGAAGCAAAGAUUGAGAAAAUUCCAAUUGAUGAAAGCACAAUUGGCAAUGGUGCUCUUCCUUCAUUUGUACAUAAAGGUCUUCGAUACACACAACUGGAGGCAAACAUCCAUGCAAGUGAUGCUAAUUCUUUUGUUGAGUGCUAUCGCCUUGAACCUCUGGAUGUUAUCACAAACAGUGCACAUGAAUUAUCAAAAAUCAUAAAGAAUAUGAAAGAAAAUACCAUGUGGAAGAGAAAACACAUUGACUAUAGUGUAUCUAACCAAGAGCAAGAAAGCAACAAACAAGAAAGAAAAAUUGCUGUUUAUGGAGGUCUUCAGAUUCAAUAGAAACGAUAUGGGAAUUUUCUAAUGACCUCUCCACUAUUUAUAAUUCAAAUCCGGAUGUGCGUUAUCUAAUUCAUCCUGAUGCAAAAAAUAAUGGACUAGGUGGUGUCAGUGCACUUGCUUAGAACGGAGAAGGAGAGCUACUUGCAAUAGGAUCGUUUGAUGGACUGGCAAGUAUCUGGAGUAAGAACGAUCGAUUGCUUGGUGUUGCAUGGAGUAACAAUACUUCAUUUGCUGCAAGUUCAAGGGACAAUAGAAUUUUUGUUUACAACAUCGGAGAGCCUCAGCUAGUCAAUACCUUUUAUGGAU